GCAAGUCGAGCGGUAAGCUAACUUCGGUUAGCCUAGAGCGGCGGACGGGUGAGUAACGCGUGGGAAUAUGCCCUUCUCUAAGGAAUAGCCUCUGGAAACGGAGAGUAAUACCUUAUACGCCCUUUGGGGGAAAGAUUUAUCGGUAUCGGAUUAGCCCGCGUUAGAUUAGUUAGUUGGUGGGGUAAUGGCCUACCAAGACGACGAUCUAUAGCUGGUUUGAGAGGAUGAUC
rnacentral:rRNA from 1 species